rnacentral:rRNA from 1 species
AGAGCGAACGCUGGCGGCAGGCCUAACACAUGCAAGUCGAACGGAUCCUUCGGGAUUAGUGGCGGACGGGUGAGUAACACGUGGGAACGUGCCCUUUGGUUCGGAACAACUCAGGGAAACUUGAGCUAAUACCGGAUAAGCCUUUCGAGGGAAAGAUUUAUCGCCAUUGGAGCGGCCCGCGUAGGAUUAGCUAGUUGGUGAGGUAAAAGCUCACCAAGGCGACGAUCCUUAGCUGGUCUGAGAGGAUGAUCAGCCACAUUGGGACUGAGACACGGCCCAAACUCCUACGGGAGGCAGCAGUGGGGAAUCUUGCGCAAUGGGCGAAAGCCUGACGCAGCCAUGCCGCGUGAAUGAUGAAGGUCUUAGGAUUGUAAAAUUCUUUCACCGGGGACGAUAAUGACGGUACCCGGAGAAGAAGCCCCGGCUAACUUCGUGCCAGCAGCCGC